rnacentral:piRNA from 1 species
UACAUUACCCAAUCCCAGGUGACGGUCAGG